GCAAAAAUAGAAUCGAUAAAGACCCUACAGCCCACAUCGCGUUCCGUAUCCAAGAAACCAAACGAUGCUCCAARGGCCAUGCCAUCGUUGCAUAGGCAACAACAGUAUGGACCAUGGAGAGCGCUUCAAGGUUCGUUUAAUGCCCCRAGGGACAUAUCACGAAGAGGGACUUUGAUAUAACCAAACGAUGCCAUUGAUUAGGUAUGCAGYACAGGAAACCCACCGGAUGCUCAAGGCAAACUAAGCCUUGUAGCACUAYUGAAGAGGUAUGCACGCGUGGAAGUUGCUGCUCAAGCAGACAUCCAACCACCCGUAACAAACCAAACACCACUCAUGCACCUUUACGGUAGACAUCCCCGAAGACCAUCCAGCUAAGAGCCACCCCCUUGGCACCRAGACCAAGCAAG
rnacentral:misc_RNA from 1 species